AAAGUAUAUUAUUUAUAGAAUAUGUUAUUACUUGAUUUUAAAUAAAUAACACAAAUAAUUUAUUUUAAAUAAAUUACUAGAUAUAGUAAUUAACUGAUAUUUUUAUCGAUUAAAAAUUUUUCGAAUACAAUCUAUUACUCUAUUAUCUUUAAAAAAUAUAAAAAUAAAGUAAAAUUUUCAAUUUUCAUUAUGGUUUUAGGCGGGUUAAGUUUUUGGACAGGCGGACAUUUUUUUUUUUGAGAGGGCGGGUUAAUAUUUGAAGAAGUGAAAACACACUCUCAAAAAUUAAAAUGUCUACCUAUCCACUCUGGACAUUUCUCUUUGCCUCUCUUCUAGAUCUAGCCAGUUCUCUCUCUCUCUCAGAUUUCUUUCAACUGAGCUGUAGAUAAAAGUCAAUUGGCUUCAAUUGAGAGUUAAACUUUCACAGAUCAAUGGAAAUGGGGACUCCUUGAACCGAUUCGAGCUUCAAACAAAACUAGGGUUUCAUGUUUGAAUUGGGGGUGUUUGGUUUUUGGUUCUGUUUUUGUGAGACUCACUCUGUUUUGGUACUAAUUUUGUUUCAUCUCUUUGUUCCAGUGCUAAUUUGGGGUUGAAUAAGUUGGGACUUAGCUUAAGCUUCUACUUUAAGGGAAGUCUCUCUUCUUGGAAAUGUAAAGGUAGCCUGGACAUGUUCAGGUGCAAGUGUUUGUCGAGGUUCAUACAGAAUUAUCUCCAUACUGGCAUGGAAAUAUAUAUGGCAACUGCUUGAAAAAUUGCUAAAGAGUCGAUGGAAUUGAUUGAUGAUGAACGUGUGGAACUCAUGGAUAUUGCAGCCUCUUGGAAAAGGGUUGCCCUCAAUAUUAUCUCUUGAUAGUGAUGCUUUGCAAAACCUUGAGUUAUUCAAAGGAUUGGUGUAAAAGCAGCUAGAGGCUGCUGAAAUGAAGGUUAUGGUUGCUCCUUUGCUCCAAAGCGAAUCUGGUCAAUUUUCUAUUGCUGAUAUGGUUCUUCACACACUGCUGGACUGGCAGCCAGAAGUCUGGGAUCUACCACCGUUCGAAGACUAUGUGUGCCAAUUAAUCCACUUAUAGCAUAUAUAAGUGUAGAACGUACAUCUUUAUAAUUUUGUUCAAUUGACUGGUAGUGAGUAGCAGGAUGUACUUUGAUUUGGUAGUUACUUUGGUUUUUAGCAACUUAGAUUUGGUUGGAAUUUUGGGAUGUUUAAUAUUUAAAGAGUAUAUUUUUAAUUUCUUUCAGUAAAUAAUGUUGCCUUUGAUUAAUAAAAUGUUGCAGCUCAUAUAGUAAAA